UAAAAUGAGUAGGUAUAUUUUGGUAUAUUUCCAAGGUUCUGGUAUCGAUAAUUCCGCAGUCACACUGGCGGUAACACUGAUUUUCAGCUUGCAGCGUGUUGGCCCAUACUAAAUUAUUGAAAAUAAAGGACUCCCAUAUACGCAAGGCAGCCCAAGUUUAACGGAACUGAGAGACUAAUCCCCAGUUUCCACGCAGGCCACAGCUGAAGAAGAC